GGCCCCUAAUCGGGGUUGCGGACAGUGUCUGGUGGGUAGUUUGACUGGGGCGGUCUCCUCCUAAAGAGUAACGGAGGAGCACGAAGGUUGGCUAAUCCUGGUCGGACAUCAGGAGGUUAGUGCAAUGGCAUAAGCCAGCUUGACUGCGAGCGUGACGGCGCGAGCAGGUGCGAAAGCAGGUCAUAGUGAUCCGGUGGUUCUGAAUGGAAGGGCCAUCGCUCAACGGAUAAAAGGUACUCCGGGGAUAACAGGCUGAUACCGCCCAAGAGUUCAUAUCGACGGCGGUGUUUGGCACCUCGAUGUCGGCUCAUCACAUCCUGGGGCUGAAGUAGGUCCCAAGGGUAUGGCUGUUCGCCAUUUAAAGUGGUACGCGAGCUGGGUUUAGAACGUCGUGAGACAGUUCGGUCCCUAUCUGCCGUGGGCGCUGGAGAACUGAGGGGGGCUGCUCCUAGUACGAGAGGACCGGAGUGGACGCAUCACUGGUGUUCGGGUUGUCAUGCCAAUGGCACUGCCCGGUAGCUAAAUGCGGAAGAGAUAAGUGCUGAAAGCAUCUAAGCACGAAACUUGCCCCGAGAUGAGUUCUCCCUGAGACUUAGAGUCUCCUGAAGGAACGUUGAAGACGACGACGUUGAUAGGCCGGGUGUGUAAGCGCAGCGAUGCGUUGAGCUAACCGGUACUAAUGAACCGUGAGGCUUAACCUUACAACGCCGAAG
rnacentral:rRNA from 1 species